rnacentral:rRNA from 1 species
AUUGAACGCUGGCGGCAGGCCUAACACAUGCAAGUCGAACGAGUGGCGGACGGGUGAGUAAUGUCUGGGAAACUGCCCGAUGGAGGGGGAUAACUACUGGAAACGGUAGCUAAUACCGCAUACCAUCGGAUGUGCCCAGAUGGGAUUAGCUUGUAGGUGAGGUAACGGCUCACCUAGGCGACGCGCCCUAGCUGGUCUGAGAGGAUGACCAGCCACACUGGGACUGAGACACGGUCCAGACUCCUACGGGAGGCAGCAGUGGGGAAUAUUGCACAAUGGGGGAAAGCCUGAUGCAGCCAUGCCGCGUGUAUGAAGAAGGCCUUCGGGUUGUAAAGUACUUUCGGCGGGGAAGCGUUAUCCGCAGAAUAAGCACCGGCUAACUCCGUGCCAGCAGCCGCGGUAAUAC